rnacentral:rRNA from 1 species
AUUGAACGCUGGCGGCAGGCCUAACACAUGCAAGUCGAGCGGAGCGGCGGACGGGUGCGUAAUGCCUAGGAAUCUGCCUGGUAGUGGUGGCUAACGUCCGGAAACGGGCACUAAUACCGCAUACUAUUUGAUGCGCCUAGGUCGGAUUAGCUAGUUGGUGGGGUAAAGGCCUACCAAGGCGACGAUCCGGAACUGGUCUGAGAGGAUGAUCAGUCAUACGGGAACGGAGACACGGUCCAGACGCCUACGGGAGGCAGCAGUGGGGAAUAUUGGACAAUGGGCGAAAGCCUGAUCCAGCCAUGCCGCGUGUGUGAAGAAGGUCUUCGGAUUGUAAAGCACUUUAAGUUGGGAGGCGUUACCAGCAGAAUAAGCACCGGCUAACUUCGUGCCAGCCGCCGCGGUAAUAC